rnacentral:tRNA from 1 species
GCGUCGAUCGUAUAAUGGUUAUUAUUCCUGCCUUCCACAUAGGAAACGGAAUACCAGCGUGUCCACUCGGUUCAGCAGGAGACAGGGGUUCGAUUCCCCUUCGACGCA